UCAACUCGAUUUGAGCUUGUCAGAUUUGGAGACUACCUACGUCUGAAAAAGUAUAAGUAAUUUAUUUGUUGCACAGAUGUUCUCUCGUUUAGGCCUUCGUUCCCUUGUUGGAGGUGCGACAUGCUGCAGGAGACUCGUGAAGAUCACAAACGGACCGCCAGUUAUGAGCGUGAGGCGAUAUAGCGAAACUCCUCCACAACCGUUCGAUAACAUGCCCUUUAAAAUUAAGACUCGAUUUGCAGCAACAGUUUUCUUUGCCGUAUUCUUUGGACUCGGUUUAUGGGCACCCAUGAUUAUUGUGUGGUAUUCAAUGGCCAAAAAGUGUAUGUAAUUAAUACAAAUAUAGGGACAUUCUGUUUUCCAACUAUUUAUGGUUUAGUAGGUUUUAAAGUAGCUUUUACGACUUGUCUCAUUGUCAUUAUAUUUUUAUUAUGUAUUAAAAAGUAAUUGAGACCCA